rnacentral:lncRNA from 1 species
GAAAAGACUUUUGUGUCAACAUGUUGCAAGUAAAAAUCACAGUUGAGAGAUCAAAACUUGCAAACAAAAGGUGAAGUUUCAAGAAUAAAACUUUAUCAUUUACAAACAAAAAUAUUAAACAUUUGCUUUCAAAACUUAUUUUUUCCUUUCAAAACUUUUAAAAAACGUCUUUUUCCUUUUAAAAAAACGAUUUUUUGCUUUCAAAAUUUUUUUUUUCAAAAAAAUUUUUUUGUGCUUUCAAGAAAUAUUUUUACAUUUGCUACACAAAUGUUUGCAGACGUGUUGUCUCUCGUCUCGUUUUCUCUAUAUCUUUGAUUUUAAGUUAAUACGUUUCACUUCAGUGUGACAUACGAGCCACCAACCAGUCUGCUGAUUGGUCUAGAUUCCAUCCAAUCAAAUGGCCACAUUUUUCCAACAUGGGGUCUGCUACCAAGGCUCAAAUGCCAAACUGAUGAAAAUUUGAUCUGAAUGGCCGUGUGUUUCGUACAUAGACCUCUAACCGGUCAUAAAUCUUGCAUAGCUGUGCGUGAGCGUGGAAGUGUUGAAUGCAGAAGCCCAAACAUGCAUUCUCUUGUUUCUUAUGAGUUUCUUCUGAGGUGUCUUAAGGUGGUCUGAUGGAAUUAGGAAGGUACAUAAGGUAGUUGAUGUUCCUGUUGUCUGACUCUUCCAGAAUGAAGAGCAGGAUGAUCUUCAUCUCUGGCCUCAGGUGUGUUCUUGGACUUGGAUCUUUUUGUUGCACAAGUUCUCUCCCUUUGCCUCACUCUCCUCUCUUUCAGAACGCAGUCUCUGCUCGAAGUAAUCCUUUCUACACAUACUACCUGGAGUCGAGGAGUCCGCUGGAGGAGAAGAACAAGAGGAUAAUGUUGGACAGCAAGGACCCUGACAAGAAUCGUCCUCUUGAACUGCAGCGCUCUCCUCUGGACCUACCCUCUGAACUGAAGACUCUACCAAACGGAGUGAAGCUUCCAGAACCUUUCAGCGGCUCUCAAGCUUUCGAUCAGGAAGACCACACAAGUUCUUUGGGGAACAGCACCAGUGCCACGGAUGGUUUGGUUGAUGGGCCUUUGAAAUCAUCAGACUAUUCAAGCUCAAAUACAGCUCAGGCACAGAACUUGUCCAAUCUUUGGGACGUGGAAAGCUCCGACGUGGUCAGAAAUACACAUGAUGGUGCUUUUAAAGAGAACAAUUUUAUCCAUACAGAACAACACUAUCAGGACAGCCGGUUUGAACCUCCCAAAGCCUUUGAGGAUCCUUUUGAAUCACCUUUGAACACAGGACUUGAUCUGUUCCAGUCUCCUCAAGCUUCUCCACUGAACCCAUUUUACAGCCCCACUGCUCUAAAAGACAAUGGAUUUGAAAAUGAGGAUCUCUUCAAAAUCAAGGAGGAGAAGCAAUCAUU